GAUUGAGGGACCACGGGGCAGGCAGAAGGGAAGGUCUCACCGUGUCCGGGACGCGACUGCGGCGCGGAGGCUUCCAGGAUUUGCAGCCGGCAUCAACGUUUCCGUUACCGAUCACCUCAGACCGAAGCCUGAGUGCUUCCUGUGCAGACAGACACAGACCAGAGAAGCAGACAGCCGGAGACACGGUGCCAUCAACCCACGACUGCCAGGUGUGGUGGCACACACCU